UGCGGUGGGCUGGCUGCCACCCACCUGCUCAGGUUGCCCAGGGCCCCAUCCAGCCUGGCCUUGGGCACCUCCAUGGAUGAGGUACCCACACUUCUCUGGGCAUCAGUGCCUGUGCCUCACUGCCCUCUAAGAAAGCACCAUUCAGACUUCACUUGCUCUGUCACAGGGGUGCAUCUGCCUCCAGGGGUCCCUUCCAGCCCUGUUAUCCAGCACCAAUAACCAGAGAAGGCUAAAUGUCUAAUUAAAACACUAGCUGAGCCAGAACCAUGGGUAAAUCAGUGCUUAUAUAAUUAAGAAAAAGAGAGAGAGAGAGAGAGUAGAAAGAGAUGUAGGAAGGCCAAAAUAAUCAUGGAAGAUGCAGAGACACUGGGCUCAUAAGGAAGACUCUUGACCUCGGUUCAGACAGCCCAUCCACAGCAACAAAAAAGCCAUCCUCCAGGAAGAGGAGGGUUUCGGGAGCAUCCCCCAGCAUUAGAUACUUUCUUCCACUUAAUAUCACAGCUCUCCUUUAGCUCCUUGGAAGUCCCAACCUGAAGUACCAAGGAAAGCCACCGGUGCCUUGAAAGGCCAACUUUAAGGAGACCAAAUUCACUGCCAAACUAAGAGCUCAUCUUCCUCGUCGAGCAUCUGGCCCUGCUGAGCACCAGCAGACAUCUGCAGCGGGAAAAGAGGGAUGGAGCAGAGAGGACUCAGAGGGGACAGCAAAGCUUCUGACAGCCGAACCCCAUCGACACAAAGCUCCUUGGCCCCGAGCCCCAACGUGCUCAGCCCAAAGCCAAGCCAAAGGAGCAGCCCAGACCCCGGGACUGCGCAGCACAAACCCUUUGCAGUUAUUCCCACGCACGUCUGCACCAGGCUCAAGGUUUCUUUAUGCACGCAAUCACACUGACUUAACUUAAGGUGCAAUUUUGCAACCGCUGCUGCUUGCUUGCUUGUUUGGGAAGCCGAGCUUCUUUCAAUGUGGUGUAAGUCAAUUAGGAGCAGGUUGAAGCUGAAGUGAAUUAAGGCAUUCAACCCCAAAUGCAAGUGCCUGCCUGGAGGAAAGGGGAGGGGAAGGCAGCUCUGCACCAGUUUUAACUAACCCAGUGCGAUUCAACCAAUAUAAAAUCUGAGAACAGACAAGGCGGCAUCCUUU
ensembl:lncRNA